GCCGAUGUGGUGGAAUUGGUAGACACGCCGGAUUCAAAAUCCGGUUCCUUUGCGGGAGUGACGGUUCGACCCCGUCCAUCGGUACCA
rnacentral:tRNA from 1 species